CCAUAUAUUGUAAUCAACACAAUUAAAAUUUAAGCCCAUUAAUUUCAAGUAAGGCCCACACCAAUCACUCGUUUCUCUUGGCCCAUGAAAAUUUAAGAACUUGACAGAAAUGUAUGUUCAUGUCAAUAAAAAACAAAAUUACAUAAGCACAUCUAUUACGCAUAUACAGGAGCAAAAAUAAAAGACCCAAAAAUGUUAAUUUUACAAGUAGUUCUCAAGAGAACACUAUAAUACUCCACAGCCAGCCCGGGGUCAUCUCACACUUCUGGCAAGAGAUCCGCUUGCCCAUGCCUAAGUCGUCAACCAUGUCUUUGUUGCUAAAAACACUCCCAUAAUACAAUAUCUGCCACGUGAUGAAAAAUAUGUCAGGUAUAAAAUAUUAUAGCCAGUAGGUUGAUCUAGAAGUAACUUACCACAUGUUACCAAUUCCAUAAUGAUUGUCUUAACGGAAUGUGUCCUAUAUGAUAUUCCACGGGAAAAAGAUCUAUGUGGCUUAAAAACAAUGUAGCUGAAAGGACAUUUGUAAGAUAUUACUUGUAAUAAAGGAUUGGAUCAAGUAGAAGUCAGUUCUUUAUGUAUAUUAUACACAUAAAAAUAGAGACUGACUAUAGAUACAACAAAUAUUGUGUGGUAUCACACUGCAAUAUGCUAUGAAUUAACUUGGAAUGGCACAACUAUUCAGAUCAUAUCCAAGGAAACCAUCAUACAAUUGACCAUAAGAAGCUUUUAUUACUACAUCCUAGCUAGUCUAGCCUAAAAUAUGGGCAAAAGUGAUGACUGUGAGAAUACACAUUAAUCUGAGUGAAAAAAACAUGUUACUUGUACAUGCUAUAACGUUCGUCCAAGCCUGAACAAAAGUGUCACCUACGAAGUCUUCGACAGAGAAAUUAAUGAUCUAAUGGUUGUCCAAAAUAAAAAAUUCUUUUGAAUGAAUAUAGAAAACUCUUUUGUUUUUUCAUGUGAAGAAACUAAAUUAAUAUCCAUUCAGUGGUGUUUUAUUUAACAACAAUUGUUAGAUUUUAUCCAGCAAAUAAUUGUUGAACUGACCAUAAGAAGCUUUUAUCCUAUCAUCCGUUUAGCACCCAGGACGUACAAAACACACUCUAAAACAUAAUCAAUGGAGAGAUUAAAAAACUUGGUAUUUCACCAUGAUUCUGGUUUUCCAAGAAUAAUGUUUUAUAAGUGUAUAAAAGAAAUCAACAAUUAGCAAUUCAGUCUUGUAUUUUAUUGAACACUUAGAUUUUUGUUAGUUCUGGCAUACUUAUCAAGUAGUACUUUAUCUCCCUUUUCAAUACAAAAAUACGAUUACAGUGACCUACAUAUAUUUUUAAGACAAUCAAACCUACAUAUAUGAAUGAUUUAGCAUAUAUCAGGUCUUUUUUCUUCAUGCACCAAGCUAAUCAUCCAGUUAGCCCUACUUCUACCUUACCUCACUAGGCUAAAGAUUAUUGUCAACUCGGGAGCUAUUCCUGUAGCAUUAAAAGGGCUUUUUCAGCAUUAUGUCAGAGAAGAUUAAUUCAAUUUUGCAGCUCUCAACACAUGAACUGAUCAGAGAAGACCAUAAAAAACGAUAUGAUGUGUGAGUUGCGGCUUCACCAAGCAGGGCCCUGCAAGUUGCUGGUAUUUGUAACAUCAACAUAACCGCAGAAAUGGCUAACUACAAUUUUUAGAUCCAUGCAAGUUAAACAUGUCAAAACUUACUUGAAAUCCACAUAUGCAUUAUUUUACUUUUAAUAUGUAUAUAUCCACAAAAUCGAACAAACUAACAGAUGGAUACUACACUACAUAUAUAUGUUUACUUAGAAUGAUACAUAAUCCAGAUAAACAACUUGCACAUUCUGACAAUAUGUGUGGUUUCUUGAUAUUUAUGUGUUUCUUAUGAGAUCCAAAUAUAUAGCUAUUUUCAGUUAAUAAUUAGAUGGUGUUUCAGUUAAUAAAUAGAUAAAGUGGUAGAUCCAGGAAUUGAACUUGGGUUUUCAAAUUAUUUUUUCACCCUAACAGUGAAACCAAUUGAUUCAUGGCAAUAUAAAGUUUUCAAAUCAAUGGCCUUUCCCUUGUUUUCGGAAUGCUCUAUUGCCUACAUUUCAAAGAUAGUGGCCUCAUUCUAUCAUUCAGUUCGAAGGUCGACUAAUGAAAUCAAUCAGAUCAGGACAAUGACAUGUACAAAGCUAUAUUUCUCUAAAUCCAAACAGAAGCUACACGUGUACAGGUCAACAAAUGCAACUUCAUAUUAGAACUUUGGAGGGGGUUCACCUAAUCACCCUUAGGGUUGGAGAUCGAGAUUGUUGGCAGCUGGAACAAGAGCGAGAUGUGCCCCGUGAUCCCCUGC
rnacentral:lncRNA from 1 species